UACGUAGGGUGCGAGCGUUAAUCGGAAUUACUGGGCGUAAAGCGUGCGCAGGCGGUUUUGUAAGCCAGAUGUGAAAUCCCCGGGCUCAACCUGGGAACUGCAUUUGGGACUGCAAGGCUUGAGUACGGCAGAGGGGGGUAGAAUUCCUGGUGUAGCAGUGAAAUGCGUAGAUAUCAGGAGGAAUACCGAUGGCGAAGGCAGCCCCCUGGGAUGACACUGACGCUCAUGCACGAAAGCGUGGGGAGCAAACAGG
rnacentral:rRNA from 1 species